AUCGAACGCUGGCGGCAUGCCUUACACAUGCAAGUCGAACGGCAGCACGGGAGCAAUCCUGGUGGCGAGUGGCGAACGGGUGAGUAAUGUAUCGGAACGUACCUUUCAGUGGGGGAUAACGUAGCGAAAGUUACGCUAAUACCGCAUAUUCUGUGAGCAGGAAAGCAGGGGAUCGCAAGACCUUGCGCUGAUUGAGCGGCCGAUAUCAGAUUAGCUAGUUGGUGAGGUAAAGGCUCACCAAGGCGACGAUCUGUAGCGGGUCUGAGAGGAUGAUCCGCCACACUGGAACUGAGACACGGUCCAGACUCCUACGGGAGGCAGCAGUGGGGAAUUUUGGACAAUGGGCGCAAGCCUGAUCCAGCCAUGCCGCGUGAGUGAAGAAGGCCUUC
rnacentral:rRNA from 1 species